rnacentral:rRNA from 1 species
UACGGAGGAUGCGAGCGUUAUCCGGAUUUAUUGGGUGUAAAGGGCGUGUAGGCGGGAAUGCAAGUCAGAUGUGAAAACUAUGGGCUCAACCCAUAGCCUGCAUUUGAAACUGCCGGGCUGGAGUGUUGGAGGGGCAGGCGGAAUUCCUAGUGUAGCGGUGAAAUGCAUAGAUAUCACGCAGAACUCCGAUUGCGAAGGCAGCAUACCGGCGCCCAACUGACGCUGAAGCACGAAAGCGUGGGUAUCGA